GCGCAGUUCCCAAUUCCGCAAAAUUUUGGCCGCAGUUUCAUUGUCGCAUUAUUUGCUUUCUCUCAAGAGUACACGGUCAGACAUUGUUGAAAAUUCUUUUGGGGACGGCAAACGAAACAUGCACUCGUAUUCGAAUCAAGCAGUCUGGAACCGUGCUUUCGGUGCCAGUCUGUUCACGACGCACUGCAACUGCAGUUCUUCAACGACAAGCAAUGUUGCAUCUUCUCAAUCGAAAUUUAAGACCGAUAGCGUGGCACCUUUGGCACAUGUUGUCAUAAGGACUGCAAUUAGUGUGCAAGAAACGGAUGACCUGAAAUUCAACCGGGUCAAUUAACAGACAGCAUGGCACACUGCAUUCCCCAUCUGAACUCUCACAUUCUUUUCAGGCAGAGAGAUGACUGCACCAGUGGUAUGUACCAUCGGUAAAAAGGACAAAACGGGGCAGCACUUUUUGCUGUGAAAAGAACGCAGCUAAUGAUUACCUUGCAAACGUAUCAUCAUCAUCUUCCAAUUCUGCUGGAGCAUGCACCAUCGUAUGUCUACGUGUCGCUGCGAGAUGCGUCCCUCCAGGAACCCUACGUCUCUCGGGCACUUUGCAGAAGUAUUGCAAUAUUGCAGAAGCGAACGCUACCAAGCUGCCAUUUUGAAGCCCUCGGUUACUAUCCCAGAGCGUUGCAACGAACCGCCUCCGGAGUAUUGCGCAGAAACCAAGGACUUCGCGUGGGCUUUCCAUAAUGCGACAAGUGGUUGCAGGGGACGUUGCUUUAUCGUCGAGCUCUGCCCCGGGACAGAAACUAAAAACAAAUUCUCAAGUCAGCUGGAAUGUCGCCAGACA